AGAGUUUGAUCCUGGCUCAGGAUGAACGCUGGCGGCGUGCCUAACACAUGCAAGUCGAGCGAUCUUCUUCGGAAGAGAGCGGCGGACGGGUGAGUAACGCGUGGGUAACCUGCCCUGUACACACGGAUAACAUACCGAAAGGUAUGCUAAUACGGGAUAACAUAAGAAAUUCGCAUGUUUUUCUUAUCAAAGCUCCGGCGGUACAGGAUGGACCCGCGUCUGAUUAGCUAGUUGGUGAGGUAACGGCUCACCAAGGCGACGAUCAGUAGCCGACCUGAGAGGGUGAUCGGCCACAUUGGAACUGAGACACGGUCCAAACUCCUACGGGAGGCAGCAGUGGGGAAUAUUGCACAAUGGGCGAAAGCCUGAUGCAGCAACGCCGCGUGAGCGAUGAAGGCCUUCGGGUCGUAAAGCUCUGUCCUCAAGGAAGAUAAUGACGGUACUUGAGGAGGAAGCCCCGGCUAACUACGUGCCAGCAGCCGCGGUAAUACGUAGGGGGCUAGCGUUAUCCGGAAUUACUGGGCGUAAAGGGUGCGUAGGUGGUUUCUUAAGUCAGAAGUGAAAGGCUACGGCUCAACCGUAGUAAGCUUUUGAAACUAAGAGACUUGAGUGCAGGAGAGGAGAGUGGAAUUCCUAGUGUAGCGGUGAAAUGCGUAGAUAUUAGGAGGAACACCAGUAGCGAAGGCGGCUCUCUGGACUGUAACUGACGCUGAGGCACGAAAGCGUGGGGAGCAAACAGGAUUAGAUACCCUGGUAGUCCACGCCGUAAACG
rnacentral:rRNA from 1 species